rnacentral:rRNA from 1 species
ACUCAAAGGAAUUGACGGGGGCCCGCACAAGCGGUGGAGCAUGUGCUUUAAUUCGAUGCAACGCGAAGAACCUUACCUGGGUUUGACAUGGGGGUGAAAGUCUGUAGAGAUAUGGAUCUUUCCGCAAGGAACACCCCACACAGGUGCUGCAUGGUUGUCGUCAGCUCGUGUCGUGAGAUGUUAGGUUAAGUCCUGCAACGAGCGCAACCCUCGCCCUUAGUUGCCAUCAGGUGAUGCUGGGAACUCUAAGGGGACCGCCUGGUUUAACCAGGAGGAAGGUGGGGAUGACGUCAAAUCCUCAUGGCCCUUACGUCCAGGGCUAGACACGUGCUACAAUGGUAGAUACAGCGGGAUGCAAGCUGGUGACAGCAAGCCAAUCCCUUAAAAUCUAUCUCAGUCCGGAUUGAAGUCUGCAAUUCGACUUCAUGAAGCUGGAAUCGCUAGUAAUCGCGGAUCAGCAUGCCGCGGUGAAUACGUUCCCGGGCCUUGUACACACCGCCCGU